CAGUAGACAGUAUAUGCAGAUCCCUCGCCAGGUGAGACAGUAGACAGUAUAUGCAGAUCCCUCGCCAGGUGAGACAGUAGACAGUAUAUGCAGAUCCCUCGCCAGGUGAGACAGUAGACAGUAUAUGCAGAUCCCUCGCCAUGUGAGACAGUAGACAGUAUUUGCAGAUCCCUCGCCAGGUGAGACAGUAGACAGUAUUUGCAGAUCCCUCGCCAGGUGAGACAGUAGACAGUAUAUGCAGAUCCCUCGCCAGGUGAGACAGUAGACAGUAUAUGCAGAUCCCUUCGCCAGGUGAGACAGUAGACAGUAUAUGCAGAUCCCUCGCCAGGUGAGACAGUAGACAGUAUAUGCAGAUUCCUCGCCAGGUGAGACAGUAGACAGUAUAUGCAGAUCACUCGCCAGGUGAGACAGUAGACAGUAUAUGCAGAUCCCUCGCCAGGUGAGAUGGUAUGCAGUAAAUGUAGAAACUUCGCAGGGUGAGACAGUAAACAGUAUAUGCAGAACCAUCGCUAUGUGAGACAGUACACAGUAUAUGCAGAUCCCUCGUCAGGCGGGAUUGUA